GGGCUGCAGUGAGGAAUAUUGCGCAAUGGGGGCAACCCUGACGCAGCGACGCCGCGUGGAUGAUGAAGGCCUUCGGGUCGUAAAAUCCUGUCGGAUGGGAAGAAGUGUAAUGUGGUUAAUACCCAUGUUAUUUGACGGUACCAUCAAAGGAAGCACCGGCUAACUCCGUGCCAGCAGCCGCGGUAAUACGGAGGGUGCAAGCGUUGUUCGGAAUUACUGGGCGUAAAGCGCGCGUAGGCGGUUUGUUAAGUCAGAUGUGAAAGCCCAGGGCUUAACCCUGGACGUGCAUUUGAAACUGUCAGACUUGAGUAUUGGAGGGGGUGGUGGAAUUCCCGGUGUAGAGGUGAAAUUCGUAGAUAUCGGGAGGAAUACCGGUGGCGAAGGCGACCACCUGGCCAAAUACUGACGCUGAGGUGCGAAGGCGUGGGGAGCAAACAGGAUUAGAUACCCCGGUAGUC
rnacentral:rRNA from 1 species